UAUGACGCGAAAGCAACCACGACUAUAAGGAUCGGGAGACGGAAGGGGCUGAAGAACGCAGUACCUGACCCUGUAUUUUGAGAGUUGAACGGAAAAUGGAAACUGAACGUGGAAAUCAAGAAAAGGCAAUGGAAGAAGAAAACACUGAGAAGAAAAAAGAAGAGAAAAAGAAACGGUCUCGAGUUAAACAGGUGCUUGCUGAUAUUGCUAAACAAGUGGACUUCUGGUUUGGAGAUGCAAAUCUUCACAAGGAUAGAUUUCUUCGAGAGCAGAUAGAAAAAUCUAGAGAUGGAUAUGUGGAUAUAUCACUUCUCGUGUCUUUUAACAAAAUGAAAAAACUGACUACUGACGGGAAGUUAAUAGCCAGAGCACUGAAGAGCUCAGCUGUUGUAGAGCUGGAUUUGGAAGGCACCCGAAUCAGGAGAAAAAAGCCUCUGGGUGAAAGACCAAAGGAUGAAGAUGAGCGCACUGUGUAUGUGGAGUUACUUCCCAAAAAUGUUAACCACAGCUGGAUUGAAAGAGUAUUUGGGAAAUGUGGCAAUGUUGUUUAUAUAAGUAUACCA